ACUGGGAGUAGUGGCGUGCUCCUGUAAUCUAGCUACUUGGGUCAGGGUUUGUGGACGGUAAACCUAUGUCGAUCGGGCAUCUGCACUAAGCAGGGCAUCAAUAUGGUUAGCUCGGGGGAGCCCAGGCUCACCAGGUUGUCUAAAGAGGGACGUACAGGCCCAGGGUGGUGACACAGCAGGCAGAAGUCCCCGUGUUCUGCAGUAGUGGGAUCGCGCCCGUGAAUAGGCACCGGUUGGCAGCCCGUCCAAAACAAGCGGACCCAAU
rnacentral:SRP_RNA from 1 species